rnacentral:rRNA from 1 species
CGCAAGUCGAACGGCAGCACGGACUUCGGUCUGCGGCGAGCAAGAACGGGUGAGUAAUAUCAGAACGUGCCUAGUAGCGGGGAUAACUACGGAAGCGCAGCUAAUACCGCACAUGCUCCCCGGGGAGCGGACCUUCGGCUCGCACCAUUAGAGCGGCUGGGAUAUCGGAUUAGCUAGUUGGUGGGGUAACGCUCACCGGGGUUGCUGACGAUCCGUGGCUGGUUUUGAGAUGACGACCAGCCACACUGGGGAUUCAGCAGAUAUACGGCCCAGACUCCCACGGGAAGGGCAGGGGGAAUGGGACAAUGGGAAACUCCCGAUCCAGCCAUCCCGCGUAAAGUACAAGGCCUUCACAAAGUGUCUUUGCAGGAGAAACGGUAUCGAUAUAAUACCUCUGCAAUCGAUUACGGGUACCUUUGCAGAAUAAGCACCGGUUAAUCCACGUGCCAGCAGCCGCGGUAAUGUGGCGCAAGCGUUAAUCGGAAUUACUGGGCAAAGCGUGCGCAGGCGGUCUGGAAAAGAAAUACGGAAAUCCCAGAGUCAUCCUUGAACUGCAUUUUUAACUACCGGAGCUAGAGGUCAGAGGAGGAAUUCCGCGUGUAGCAGUGGAAAUGCGGAUAUGCGGAGGAACACCGAUGGAGAAGGCAGCCUCCUGAUAACACUGACGCUCAUGCACGAAAGCGUGGGGAGCAAACAGGAUUAGAUACCCUGGUAGUCCACGCCCUAAACGAUACCAACUAGCUGUUGGGUUCUCUUAGCCCGUGGUAGCGCAGCUAACGCGGAAGUUGACCGCCUGGGGAGUGGCUGUCGCAAGAUUAAAACUCAAAGGAAUUGAUUGGGACCUGCACGUUGUGGAUGAUGUGGAUUGUCUGAUGCAACGAAAAACCUUACCUACCCUUGAGCAUGUCUGGAAUCCCGAAGAGAUUUGGGAGUGCUCAAAGAGAACCGAACACAGGUGCUGCAUGGCUGUCGUCAGCUCGUGUCGUGAGAUGUUGGGUUAAGUCCCGCAACGAGCGCAACCCUUGUCAUUAGUUGCUACGAAAGGGCACUCUUAAUGACUGCCGGUGACAAACCGGAGGGGAAGGGGUGGGGAUGACGUCAAGUCCUCAUGGCCCUUGCGGUAGGGCUUCACACGUCUUACAAUGGUCGGGACAGGAGUGGUCACAACCCGCGAGGGGGAGCCAAUCCCAGAAACCCGACCGGUGUCCGGAUCGCAGUCUGCAACCUCGACUGCGUGAAGUCGGAAUCGCUAGCACUGCGGAUCAGCAUGUCGCGGUGAAUACGUUCCCGGGUCUUGUACACACCGCCCGUCACACCAUGGGAGGGUUUUACCAGAAGAGUUAGCCCAACCGUAAGGAGGGCGAUUACCACGGUAGGAUUCAUGACCGGGGUGAAGUCGUAACAAGGUAG